AUAUUAAUUGGGCCUUCACUUUGCUGCCUCUUUCUUUCUUCGAUGACACAAAACCACACUUUGUUCUUCUCUUCGUCUUCCUCCUCUCUUCUUCUUUCAAUGAUUUCUUCUGCAAUUAUUCUUACUAACUCUCUUCUUCUCAUGCUUGAUUCUCUUGCACAUGAUUGAUCAAAGAUGAGAUUCCAACAGUUCCUACUCCGAGCCUUUUCCGGCACCUCUUAUGAGGACUGGAUCUGGUGCUUCUCAAGAUAAGUCGCAGCUCCAACCAUUGUCGCCACCAUUUUCGUACUCAAAGGAAGCGCAGCCAUUUCCGUUAAGCCGUAAACAAAGUGAAGAAAGUAUGAAGAUAUAAUUAUUAUCAUAUUUCAAGAUUGGGUUGUUGCCAUAAACGGCAUUUUGCGGAUAUUCAGAUUUGUGGAGGUAUAAUGCGAAAGAGUGUUGUUAUGGUUGGUUCCUAAUGUUCCGUAACAUAAUAUUUUGUUUGUGAUAAAUUGACAUAUUUAUCUCCCUAAUAAUUUAACACAAUUUGUUCACAGGUCUGUUUGGAAACAAUUGUAUUCUAAACAGGAUCCGAAUAAGAUAAUACUUACUACUAAGGAUCCGCGUCCCAUUACUUCUGUUAGAUUACCAUUUUGUCCUCAUGUGUUUUUUUCCUUCUUAUUUUUUGUAAAUCGUAGGGGCAUUAUAUGUCAUACAUACUUAAUUGUUUUUUUUAUCCUUGAGUGUGCUUAGUAUAGAUACAGUCAAAUAUUAUUUUUUAUAUGUGGACCAUAUUUGACCCAAUUUGCUAAUCUAAGGCCCAAAUGUCCUGGAAACAA